AGGACUAACGCUGGCGGCGUGCCUAACACAUGCAAGUCGAACGAGAGUAGCAAUACUCUAGUGGCAGACGGGUGAGUAACACGUGGUCAACCUUCCCUAGCGUGGGGGAUAACUAGCCGAAAGGUUAGCUAAUACCGCAUGACAUCGUCGAGUGGCAUCAUUUGACGAUCAAAGGAGCAAUCCGCGCAAGGACGGGACCGCGUCCCAUUAGCUAGUUGGUGAGGUAACGGCCCACCAAGGCUUCGAUGGGUAGCUGGUUUGAGAGAGCGACCAGCCACACUGGGACUGAGACACGGCCCAGACUCCUACGGGAGGCAGCAGUGAGGAAUUUUCCGCAAUGGGCGAAAGCCUGACGGAGCGACGUCGCGUGUGGGAAGAAGGCCUUCGGGUCGUAACCACUGUCGAAGGGGAAGAUAUUGACGGUACCCUUGGAGGAAGCCCCGGCUAACUACGUGCCAGCAGCCGC
rnacentral:rRNA from 1 species